CAAGCUGUCCCUGCCCGAGGAAGGAAUGUUCCCGAGAGCAGAGAACAGCUGAUGAAAGAAAGAAAAUCCAGCUAAACAGGCAAGACUUCACUUUUAAUCUUCUAAGCCGG
rnacentral:lncRNA from 1 species